AGCGUUAAUCCAAAUUACUGGCCGUAAAUCUUGCGCAAGCGGUUUCCUAAGACAGACGUGAAAUCCCCGGGCUCAACCUGGCAACUGCGUUUGUGACUGGUGCGCUUUAUUACGGUAGAGGGGGGUGGAAUUCCACGUGUAGCAGUGAAAUGCGUAGAGAUGUGGAGGAACACCCAUGGCGAAGGCAUCCCCCUGGACCGAUACUGACGCUCAUGCACGAAAGCGUGGGUAGCAAACAUGAUUAGAUACCCUGGUAGUCAACGCCCUAAACGAUGUCAACUAGGUGUUGGGUGGGUAAAACCAUUUAAUACCGUAGCUAACGCGUGAAUUUGACCGCCUGGGGAGUACGGCCGCGAGGUUAAAACUCAAAGGAUUUGACGG
rnacentral:rRNA from 1 species